rnacentral:rRNA from 1 species
AAUGAACGUUGGCGGCGUGGAUUAGGCAUGCAAGUCGAGCGUGAUAGGUUUGGUGCUUGCAUUAAACCUUGAAAGCGGCGAAAGGGACAGUAACGCGUAGAUACCUACCUCCAGGUCCGGGAUAGCGGCGGGAAACUGCCGGUAAUACCGGAUAAUGUCUUCGGACCAAAGGUGUGAUUCCGCUUGGAGACGGAUCUGCGUCCUAUUAGCUAGUUGGUGGGGUAAUGGCCCACCAAGGCGAUGAUGGGUAGCGGGCGUGAGAGCGUGGCCCGCGUCACUGGGACUGGGACACUGCCCAGACACCUACGGGUGGCUGCAGUCGAGAAUCUUCGGCAAUGGGCGCAAGCCUGACCGAGCGACGCCGCGUGCGGGAUGAAGGCCUUCGGGUUGUAAACCGCUGUCGGAGAGGCGGAAAUCUCUAGGGGUUCUCCCCUAGAGUUGACCUAAUCUCGGAGGAAGUCCGGGCUAAGUUCGUGCCAGCCGCCGCAGUAAAAC